UUGGAAAUCAAUAGAAAUGGCUAUGAAGGUCGGUUGGGUUGGACGAUUCUCUGGAGGAUGAGAGAGAUUUGGACAUGGCAGAUCGUAGGGCUACAGAGAUUGAGCUUGAUACCAUGGAGGGUUUUGCGUCAAGGGAAAAGCUCCACCAUCAUCUCAACGACCAAGGUUUCUUGACUUGAAGUUUAGUUUGUCUAUCAUAUUUAGAGAUAAUAAACGAGUCUCUGGGAGAACCAACUCUGAUGAUGUUUAAAUUAGAUGAGAAGCUGAAGUUGAUAGAAUCUCGUCUGGAAAGCAAAAAUUGAGGGCCCACUUCAGGCUUACAUCCUCGUUGACGUACAUCACGUGAUAUUCCUCCGGUGUGGAGUUAAGAAUUUGGGGGUUUCUUUCAAGAAGCAAGUAAAAUGUACAGCAACUAAAGUUUACUUGGUCUCAAAUUCUUCUUGCCCAGGUUCCAAUGGCUCCAAAACAGCCAAACACAGGACUCUUUGUGGGUCUAAAUAAAGGGCAUGUUGUCACCAAGAAGGAAUUAGCACCUCGUCCUUCCGACAGAAAAGGGGCUUAUCAAGAUAUUCUCUAGCUUUGAGAGCUGCAUAAGGCUAAUGAUUAAAAAAAGAAAAAAUGGAGAUUCUAAAGAUCAUCAUCCAAAUGCACCAAAAUUUAGAGUAAGAUCGAACCACUAUUAAUGAAGGUAUUCUACUGGGCUAGGAUGCUUGUUGUUUGGAUAUGGAGCCAUGGAAGAACUUGGACCCUUCCGUGUUAACAGUGAUGGAAAAACACUCUACCCCAACCACUAUGCAUGGAACAAUGGUAACAAAAAUUCCUUU